GAACUGGAAACCAGAAUAUUUUGUUGUGAAAAAUGGUGUGAAAUUUACCUUCUUCCACCAUUGCUCCUGACUUAUCUCCAUUUUUGGUUGCAGACUUCCUUCUCCUCCAAGCUCCUCAUGCUGAGUCAAAAUAAACAGUACAGAAUACAAAUGAUGAGACCAAACUGCAGCAACAGAUUCAAUCUGUGGAUCAGGAAAGUCACAAAGAGCAUCACGAAGGAUAUGUGCAUGAGAGUGUGGAAGCACAUUCCGUUCCUGUGAUUCUGCCAGUAAGCACCAGAUUGCAGCAGUUUCUGUUGGGAGGAACAAGACUUUUCUUUGCAUGAGUGCAGUGCAGAUCUCCCUCUGCAACACGAACAUUUCCAAUUGUAAAGUGAAUCAUUGCUGGGAAGAAGAUGGAGAAAAAUUGACUCAAAGAGUGCGAUGCUCAACAACAACCACGACUAACUCCCUCACUUGACAUCAGUGUGGAGACAUUUACCUUACGGAGGUACAUGAGAGCCUGGAGAUCCUUCCUGCUUACAUGAGAAGCUGCUCUCAUCCUCACUGACCUAUUGCUCAGCAAAGCCUGGGGCUUUGCCGUGAAGUACUAAGAAGGAAGCUGAACAGAUUCAUGAUUUGUGGAACAACACAGGAAAGAAACACUACAAAAAACACACUCAGACCCUGAACUUCUCUGCUGAAGCAUGUUGACAGUACUGCUCUGACUGACUUCUAGCUACUGCACAUUUAGCAUUCAGAAAGGACUCUCUAUGAGGUUUAGCUGAUUUCCUCUGAGAUCCCUCAUUAAUAAGGGCUGGUUGUAGGCCAGCUGAAGCCCUUCUGCAUCUUUCAGCUUUGUGACCUCUUUACGGAUGAGCAGGUGUCCAUUAUACCGGUUUCCCCUGGUGUGCUGCAGCAAUGAAUCACUCUUCUGCAUGAAGGGAAACUCCUCACGUGUUCAAUUAAUUUUGUAUGCAACACGGUGCAAAGAGUAACCAGCCAUACAGCUUUGUGCCCAAGGACGAUUCCCCAGAAUGCAAAUAAGGCCACUUCCAGCCAGCAAAUCACACAUCGGAGUAAACUACAAAGACACAAUGUGAAAGUGCCCUGCCAGUGCUGGAUUUUAGGAUGAACUGUUUCUCAGAAAGAGCAGUCAGGCACUUGCAUAGGCUGCCCUGGGAAGUGGUGGGGUCACUGUCCCUGAAGGUGUUCAAGA
rnacentral:lncRNA from 1 species